rnacentral:rRNA from 1 species
GAUGAACGCUGGCGGCGUGCCUAAUACAUGCAAGUCGAGCGAACGGACGAUAAGCUUGCUUCUCUGAUGUUAGCGGCGGACGGGUGAGUAACACGUGGAUAACCUACCUAUAAGACUGGGAUAACUUCGGGAAACCGUAGCUAAUACCGGAUAAUAUUUUGAACCGCAUGUUUCUAUAGUGAAAUACGUUCUUGCUGUCACUUCUAGAUGGAUCCGCGCUGCAUUAGCUAGUUGGUAAGGUAACGGCUUACCAAGGCAACGAUGCAUAGCCGACCUGAGAGGGUGAUCGGCCACACUGGAAGUGAGACAGGGACCAGACUACUACGGGAGGCAGCAGUAGGGAAUAUUCCGGAAAGGGGGAAAGCAUGAGGGAGCAAAGCCGCGUGAGUGAUGAAGGUCGUGGGAUCGUAAAACUGUGUUAUUAGGGAAGAAGAUAUGUGUAAGUAACUGUGCACAGCGUGACGGUACCUAAUCAGAAAGCCACGGCUAACUACGUG